rnacentral:rRNA from 1 species
GACGAACGCUGGCGGCGUGCUUAACACAUGCAAGUCGAACGGAAAGGCCCUUCGGGGUACUCGAGUGGCGAACGGGUGAGUAACACGUGGGUGAUCUGCCCUGCACUUUGGGAUAAGCCUGGGAAACUGGGUCUAAUACCGAAUAGGACCACGCGCUUCAUGGUGUGUGGUGGAAAGCUUUUGCGGUGUGGGAUGGGCCCGCGGCCUAUCAGCUUGUUGGUGGGGUAAUGGCCUACCAAGGCGACGACGGGUAGCCGGCCUGAGAGGGUGACCGGCCACACUGGGACUGAGAUACGGCCCAGACUCCUACGGGAGGCAGCAGUGGGGAAUAUUGCACAAUGGGCGCAAGCCUGAUGCAGCGACGCCGCGUGAGGGAUGACGGCCUUCGGGUUGUAAACCUCUUUCAAUAGGGACGAAGCGCAAGUGACGGUACCUAUAGAAGAAGCACCGGCCAACUACGUGCCAGCAGCCGCGGUAAUACGUAGGGUGCGAGCGCUGUCCGGAAUUACUGGGCGUAAAGAACUCGUAGGUGGUUUGUCGCGUUGUUCGUGAAAACUCACAGCUUAACUGUGGGCGUGCGGGCGAUACGGGCAGACUAGAGUACUGCAGGGGAGACUGGAAUUCCUGGUGUAGCGGUGGAAUGCGCAGAUAUCAGGAGGAACACCGGUGGCGAAGGCGGGUCUCUGGGCAGUAACUGACGCUGAGGAGCGAAAGCGUGGGGAGCGAACAGGAUUAGAUACCCUGGUAGUCCACGCCGUAAACGGUGGGUACUAGGUGUGGGUUCCUUCCUUGGGAUCCGUGCCGUAGCUAACGCAUUAAGUACCCCGCCUGGGGAGUACGGCCGCAAGGCUAAAACUCAAAGGAAUUGACGGGGGCCCGCACAAGCGGCGGAGCAUGUGGAUUAAUUCGAUGCAACGCGAAGAACCUUACCUGGGUUUGACAUGCACAGGACGCCGGCAGAGAUGUCGGUUCCCUUGUGGCCUGUGUGCAGGUGGUGCAUGGCUGUCGUCAGCUCGUGUCGUGAGAUGUUGGGUUAAGUCCCGCAACGAGCGCAACCCUUGUCCUAUGUUGCCAGCGGGUUAUGCCGGGGACUCGUAGGAGACUGCCGGGGUCAACUCGGAGGAAGGUGGGGAUGACGUCAAGUCAUCAUGCCCCUUAUGUCCAGGGCUUCACACAUGCUACAAUGGCCGGUACAAAGGGCUGCGAUGCCGUGAGGUGGAGCGAAUCCUUUCAAAGCCGGUCUCAGUUCGGAUCGGGGUCUGCAACUCGACCCCGUGAAGUCGGAGUCGCUAGUAAUCGCAGAUCAGCAACGCUGCGGUGAAUACGUUCCCGGGCCU